AUGGUCGUACGUGGGACAGACAUCUAUGGAAUGGUCAUACAUGGGACCGACACACGGAAUGGUCACACGUGGGAUGGACACGUGGAAUGGUCACACGUGGGACAGACAUACAUGGAAUGGUCAUAUGUGGGAUGGACACACGGAACGGUCACACGUGGGACAGACACUGAACGGUCAUACAGGGGACGGACAUACAUGGAAUGGUCAUACAUGAGACACACACAUGGAAUGGUCAUAUGUGGGACAGACACAUGGAAUGGUCAUACAUGGGAUGGGCACACGGAAUGGUCACACGUGGGAUGGGCACAUGGAAUGGUCAUACAUGGGAGGAUCACAUGGAAUGGUCAUACAUGGGACAGACACGGAAUGGUCAUACGUGGGACGGUCACAAGGAAUAGUCAUACAUGGGAUGGACAUACAUGGAAUGGUCAUACAUGGGAUGGGCACACGGAAUGGUCACAUGUGGGACAGACACUGAACGGUCAUACAUGGGACGGACACAUGGAAUGGUCAUACAUGGCACACAGCCCUGGCAUGGGACAGUCAGACACAAAACGGUCAUACAUGAGACAGACAUGGGACGUGGGAUGGACACGGGACAGUCGGACAUGGGACAGUCGGACAUGGGAUAGGUAUGGGACGUGGGAUGGACACGGGACAGUCGGAUGCAGAACAUGGGAUGGAAACAGAACAGCUGAACACAGAACAGUCAGACAUGGGACAGUUGGACGCGGAACAUGGGAUGGACACGGGACAGUCGGACAUGGGACAGUUGGACACGGAACACGGGAUGGACACGGGACAGUCGGACAUGGGACAGUUGGACAUGGGACAGUCGGACACGGAACAUGGGAUGAACACGGGAUGGACGCGGGACAUGGAUGGACAUGGGAUGGACACGGGACAUGGAUGCACACAGGACAUGGGAUAGACAUGGGACAUGGGAUGGACACGGGAUGGACGUGGGACAUGGAUGGACACAGGACAUGGGAUGGACAUGGGACAGUUGGACACGGGACAUGGAUGGACAUGGGACAGUCAGACAGAGAACAUGGAUGGACACGGAACAUGGGAUGGACACGGGACAUGGAUGCACACGGAACAUGGAUGGACACGGGACAUGGAUGGACACGGAACAUGGAUGGACACGGGACAUGGAUGGACACGGGACAUGGAUGGACACAGAACACGGGAUGGACGCGGGACAUGGGAUGGACGCGGGACGGAGGCACACGCGUGUCAGCUGACAGCCAUGGCGGUGCCGGCGGCGCACUGAGAGCGGGGACGGCAUUUUGGGGCAGCGCCACACGGAGCUUUGGGGCCAAACAUCGCCAUUUUGGGACACAGAAAUGCAACGUUUUGGGGCCAAACGUCGCUAUUUCGGUACAGCAGAGCGGCACGCGGAGUUUUGGGGCCAAACGCCGCAAUUUCGGGGCACAGAAAUGCAACAUUCUGAGGCCAAACCCUGUGAUUUUGGGACACCCGACGGAGAUGAGAAAGUUUGGGUCCAAACUGCGGGAUUUUGGGGCACAGAAAUGCAACAUUCUGGGGCCAAACCCCGCGAUUUUGGGACUCCCAACGGAGAUGCGGAGUUUUGGGUCCAAACUCGGGGAUUUUGGGGCAGAAGGACGCAACAUUUUGGGACAAAACCUGCAGAUUUUGGUCCACCCGAUGAGGACGCGGAGUUUUGGGGCCAAACGCCGCGAUUUCGGGGCACAGAAAUGCAGUAUUUUGGGGCCAAACCCCGCGAUUUUGGGACACCCGACGGAGAUGCGGAGUUUUGGGUACAAACCACGGGAUUUUGGGACACAGAACUGCCACAUUUUGGGGCCAAACCCCGCGAUUUUGGGACACCCGACGGAGAUGAAUUUUGGGUCCAAAACCAGGGAUUUGGGGGCAGAAGGACGCAACAUUUUGGGGCCAAACCUCACAACUUCUGUCCACCCGAUGAGGACGCGGAGUUUUGGGGCCAAAAUCGUGGGAUUUCAGGGCACAGAAAUGCAGCAUUUUGGGGCCAAAUCCCGCGAUUUCGGUACAGCAGAGCGGCACGCGGAGUUUUGGGUCCAAAUCGUGGGAUUUCGGGGCACAGAAAUGCAACAUUUUGAGGCCAAACCCCGCGAUUUUGGGACACCCAACGGAGAUGCGGAGUUUUGGGUCCAAACUGCGGGAUUUUGGGGCAGAAGGACGCAACAUUUUGGGACAAAACCUGCAGAUUUUGGUCCACCCGAUGAGGACGCGGAGUUUUGGGGCCAAACGCCGCGAUUUCGGGGCACAGAAAUGCAGUAUUUUGGGGCCAAACCCCGCGAUUUUGGGACACCCGACGGAGAUGCGGAGUUUUGGGUACAAACCACGGGAUUUUGGGACACAGAACUGCCACAUUUUGGGGCCAAACCCCGCGAUUUUGGGACACCCGACGGAGAUGAAUUUUGGGUCCAAAACCAGGGAUUUGGGGGCAGAAGGACGCAACAUUUUGGGGCCAAACCUCACAACUUCUGUCCACCCGAUGAGGACGCGGAGUUUUGGGGCCAAAAUCGUGGGAUUUCAGGGCACAGAAAUGCAGCAUUUUGGGGCCAAAUCCCGCGAUUUCGGUACAGCAGAGCGGCACGCGGAGUUUUGGGUCCAAAUCGUGGGAUUUCGGGGCACAGAAAUGCAACAUUUUGAGGCCAAACCCCGCGAUUUUGGGACACCCGACGGAGAUGCGGAGUUUUGGGUCCAAACUGCGGGAUUUUGGGGCAGAAGGACGCAACAUUUUGGGACAAAACCUGCAGAUUUUGGUCCACCCGAUGAGGACGCGGAGUUUUGGGGCCAAACGCCGCGAUUUCGGGGCACAGAAAUGCAGUAUUUUGGGGUCAAACCCCACGAUUUUGGGACACCUGAUGGAGAUGCGGAGUUUGGGGUCCAAACUCGGGGAUUUGGGGGCAGAAGGACGCAACAUUUUGGGGCCAAACCCCGCAAUUUUGGGACAUACAAUGAGGACACGGAGUUUUGGGGCCAAACGUCGGGAAUUGGGUACAUUUGAUGGGGAUGCGAUUUUGGGGCCAAAGCCUGCGCUUUUCGGGCAGAAGGACACCACAUUUUGGGGCCAAAGUCCGGGAUUUUGGUACAGUGGAGCGGCACGGGGAGUUUGGGGUCCAGAAACAGAUUUGGGGGCAGAAGGAUGCACCAUUUUGGGGACAAACUCCGGGAUUUUGGUACACCCAAUGGAGACGCGGAGUUUCGGGGCCAAACGCCGGGAUUUCGGGGCACAGCAAUGCAUUUUGGGGCCAAACCUCCGGAUUUUGGUACAGCAGAGCGGCACGCGGAGUUUUGGGUCCAAAAGCAGGGAUUUCGGGGCAAAAGGACACAGCAUUUUGGGGCCAAACCUCACAAUUUUGGGACACCCAACGGAGAUGCGGAAUUUUGGGUCCAAACUCCGUGAUUUUGGGGCAGAAGGACGCAACAAUUGGGGGCAAAACUUUGGGAUUUUGGGACGCGCGAUGGGGACGCAGAUUUUUGGGUCCAAACCUCGGGAUUUUGGGACAGAAGGACGCAACAUUUUGGGGCCAAACCUCACGAUUUCGGUCCACCCGAUAAAGAAGCGAAGCUUUGGGUCAAAACUCCGGGAUUUUGGGCCACAGAACCGCCGCAUUUUGGGUCCGAACGCCGGGAAUUUGGGACAUGCGACGGAGACACGGAGUUUUGGGACCAAACUCGGGGAUUUUGGGGCAGAGGGACACAAUAUUUUGGGGCUAAAUGUGUCGGUUUUGGGACACGCGAUGGAGAUGCGACACUUUGGGGCCCAACCCCGGGAUUUGGGGUCCAAACCUCAGAACUUUGGGCCGCCCGAUGGGGACGCGGAGUUUUGGGGCCAAAUUCCGAGAUUUGGGGACACACAACAGCCACAUUUUGGGGCCGAACCCCAUGAUUUUGGGACACCCGACGGAGACGCGGAGUUUUGGGGCCAAACCUCGGGAUUUUGGGGCAGAAGGACGCGAUGUUUUGGGUCUGAACCUCGGAACUUUGGGACACGCGAUGGGAACGCGGAGUUUUGGGGCCAAACUCCGGGAUUUGGGGCCACAGAACCGCAACAUUUUGGGGCCAAACCCCGGGAUUUGGGGUCCGAACCUCAAAAUUUCGUUCCACCCGACGGAGACGCGGAGUUUUGGGUCCAAACUCCGGGAUUUGGGGGCAGAAGGACGCGACGUUUUGGCUCCGAACUUCAGAACUUUGGGACACGCGAUGGGAACGCGGAGUUUUGGGGCCAAACUCCACAAUUUUGGGGCAGAAGGACGCGACAUUUUGGGUCCGAACCACAUAAUUUCGGUCCACCCGAUAAAGACGCGGAGUUUUGGGGCCAAACCUCAGGAUUUGGGGCCACAGAACCACAACAUUUUGGGGUCAAACCCUGCAAUUUUGGGUCCGAACCUCACAAUUUCGGUCCGCCCGACGGAGCUGUGGAGUUUCGGGUUCAAACUUUGGGAUUUUGGGCCAAAAAACUGCAACAUUUCGGUUCCAAAUCUCACAAUUUCGGUCCACCCGAUAAAGACGCGGAGUUUUGGGGCCAAACUUCGGGAUUUGGGGCCACAGAACCGCCACAUUUUGGGGCCAAACCUCAAAACUUUGGGACAGCCGACAGAGACGCAACACUUUGGGUCCAAACAUCACAAUUCUGGGGCAGGACGACCCAACAUUUUGGGUCCGAACCUCCCAAUUUUGGUACACCCGAUAAAGACGCGGAGUUUCGGGGCAAAACUUCGGGAUUUGGGGCCACAGAACCGCAACGUUUUGGGUCCAAACCUCACAAUUUUGGUCCACUCGAUAAAGACGCGGAGUUUUGGGUUCCCACUCCGGGAUUUGGGGCCGCAGAACCGCAAUGUUUUGGGUCCAAAAGCUGCGAUUUCGGGUCCGAGCCUCAGAACUUUGCUACACCCGAUAAAGACGCGGAGUUUUGGGUCCAAACACCACAAUUUGGGGCCACGGAACCGCCACAUUUCAGGUCCAAACCUCAGAACUUUGGGACAGCCGAUAAAGACGCGGAGUUUUGGGUUCGCACUCCGGGAUUUGGGGCCACAGAACCACAACGUUUUGGGGCCAAACCCCGUGAUUUUGGGUCCGAACCUCAGAACUGUGGGACACCCGACGGAGCCGCAGCACUUUGGGGUCCAAACACCACAAUUUGGGGCCACGGAACCGCAACAUUUUGGGUCCAAACCCCGCGAUUUCGGGACCAAACUUCAGAACUUUGGGACACCCGAUGGAGAUGCAGUACUUUGGGUUCGCGCUCCGGGAUUUGGGGCCGCAGAACCGCAAUGUUUUGGGUCCAAACCUCACAAUUUUGGUCCACCUGAUAAAGACGCGGACUUCUGGGGCCAAACACCACAAUUUGGGGCCACAGAACCGCCACAUUUUGGGUCCGAACCUCAGAACUUUGGGACAGCCGACAGAAACGCAGCACUUCGGGUCCAAACACCACAAUUUGGGGCCACAGAACCGCAAUGUUUUGGGUCCAAACCCCGCGAUUUCGGGUCCGAACCUCCAAACUUUGUGACACCCGACGGAGCCGCAGCACUUCGGGUUCGCUCUCCGGGAUUUGGGGCCACAGAACCACAACAGAUUGGGGCCAAACCCCGCGAUUUCGGGUCCGAACCUCAGAACUUUGGGACACCCGACAGAAACGCAGCACUUCGGGUCCAAACACCACAAUUUGGGGCCACGGAACCGCCACAUUUCGGGUCCGAACCUCAGAACUUUGGGACAGCCGAUAAAGACGCGGAGUUUUGGGUUCCCACUCCGGGAUUUGGGGCCACAGAACCGCCACAUUUUGGGUCCGAACCUCCCAAUUUUGGUACACCCGAUAAAGACGCAGAGUUUUGGGUUCCCACUCCGGGAUUUGGGGCCGCAGAACCACAACAUUUUGGGGCCAAACCCCGCGAUUUUGGGUCCGAACCUCAGAACUGUGGGACACCCGACGGAGCCGCAGCACUUUGGGGUCCAAACACCGGGAUUUGGGGCCACGGAACCGCCACAUUUCGAGUCCGAACCUCCGAACUUUGCUACACCCGAUAAAGACGCGGAGUUUUAGGUCCAAACACCACAAUUUGGGGCCACGGAACCGCAACAGUUUGGGUCCAAACCCCGCGAUUUCGGGUCUGAACCUCAGAACUUUGGGACAGCUGAUAAAGACGCGGAGUAUUGGGUCCAAACACCACAAUUUGGGGCCACAGAACCGCCACAUUUCGGGUCCGAACCUCCGAACUUUGUGACACCCGACAGAAACGCAGCACUUCGGGUCCAAACACCACAAUUUGGGGCCACAGAACCGCCACAUUUCGGGUCCGAACCUCCGAACUUUGGGACACCCGACGGAGCCGCAGCACUUCGGGUUCGUACUCCGGGAUUUGGGGCCGCAGAACGGCCCGGUUUGGGUCCAAACCCCGCGAUUUUGGGACCGAACCUCAGAACUUUGGGACAGCCGAUAAAGACGCGGAGUUUUAGGUCCAAACACCACAAUUUGGGGCCACGGAACCGCCACAUUUUGGGUCCAAACCCCGCGAUUUCGGGUCCGAACCUCCGAACUUUGCGACACCCGACGGAGCCGCAGCACUUCGGGUUCGCAGUCCGGGAUUUGGGGCCGCAGAACGGCCCGGUUCGGGUGCGGAACGGCGCGAUUGGGGUUCGGCACCGCCGUCUUUCGGGCCGCCCGAUAAAGGCGCGGAGUUUCGGCGGGGAACGGCGGCGUCGCGGCCCGCAGCAGCGCCCCAUUCCGGGUCCGCCCGCCGUCCUUCGGGUCCGCCCUCCUCCGCCGCGGACUUUUCCGGCCCGCACCGCCGCUCCGUUUCGGGGCCGAACGCCGCGAUUUCGGGAGCGGUUCCGGAGGGGGCGGCGCUGCGCCGAUGGGCGCCGUUGCGGCGCCGUUGCGGGGCCGACGGCGCGGUCGUCCCCCCCCCCCCCCCUCUCCACACACACACACACACACACACCCCCCCCGCCCCCCCUCCCCCUUUCCUCCCCUUCCUCCCCUCCCGGCCCCCCCCCCCCCCAUCCCCUCCCCCACCCCCCGGGGGGGGUCCCGUCCCACCCCCCGCCCCGCCCCCCACUCACAGCCGCUCUUCUCCUCCCGCCGCCGCCGCCGCCGCCGCCGCCAUUUUCUUUCGCAGCGCAGAAACCCCGCGAGGGGGGGGGGGAGGCGGGAGGGGGGGGCGGGGGGGGACCGAGCCCGGGAGGAAACGCUCAGCGCCGUUGCCCCGCCCGCCGCGCGCCGCGAUUGGGCCGAACGCGCGUCGCUCGGAGCGGCGCCCCGCGGCGAUUGGUCGGCGGAGAGGAGGAGGGGGCGGGGCGAGGAGCGUUCCCGGCGGCCGUUGGAAUUGGCGGGAAGCGCUGUCAGUUAGAGGGGGCGGGGCGACGGGAGCGCGCGCAGCGUCCCGUUGGCCGAGCGUCACCGCGUCGCGUCGCCAUUGGUCCCGGGAGACGCCCGUCAGCGGGGGGGCGGGGCCGCGCCGCUGCGCACGGGUUUGAAAUUCAACGGCCGCAGCGGCCCCGCCCCCUCCGCGCGGUGCGCGCCGGGAU
rnacentral:lncRNA from 7 species